rnacentral:tRNA from 1 species
GCCCCCGUAGUUCAAUGGAUAGAACAAGGGACUUCUAAGCCUUUAAUGGGAGUUCAAUUCUCUCCGGGGGCA